UUGCUUCCACAGCACAUAUGCUAAAAAUUAGAACAAUACAGAGAAACUUAGCAUGGCCUCUGCACCAGGAUGGCAUGCAGAUUCCUGGAUCAUUCCAUUAAAAA
rnacentral:snRNA from 1 species